rnacentral:rRNA from 1 species
UACGUAGGUGGCGAGCGUUAUCCGGAAUGAUUGGGCGUAAAGGGUGCGUAGGCGGCCUGCUAAGUCUGGAGUGAAAGGUACCGGCUCAACCGGUACAGGCUCUGGAAACUGGCGGGCUAGAGAGCAGGAGAGGGCGGUGGAACUCCAUGUGUAGCGGUAAAAUGCGUAGAUAUAUGGAAGAACACCAGUGGCGAAGGCGGCCUGCUGGACUGCAACUGACGUUGAGGCUCGAAGGCGUGGGGAGCAAGCAGG